UACGUAGAGUGCGAGCGUUAAUCGGAAUUACUGGCGUAAAGCGCGCGUAGGCGGCUUUGCAAGUCGGGUGUGAAAUCCCCAGGCUUAACCUGGGAACUGCAUUCGAGACUGCAUUGCUAGAGUAUGGGAGAGGGAAGUGGAAUUCCGGUGUAGCGGUGAAAUGCGUAGAUAUCGGAAGGAACAUCAGUGGCGGAAAGCGACUUCCUGGACCAAUACUGACGCUCAUGUGCGAAAGCGUGGGGAGCAAACAGG
rnacentral:rRNA from 1 species